rnacentral:rRNA from 1 species
UAAUACUCCAUAGUCCAUGGAAUCUGGAAUGAUCCAUGGAUGAAAGUUCCGGCGCUUAAGGAUCGGUCUGCGGCCUAUCAGGUUGUAGUGGGUGUAACGUACCUACUAGCCGAUGACGGGUAUGGGCCUUGAGAGAGGGAGCCCAGAGUUGGAUUCUGAGACACGAAUCCAGGCCCUACGGGGCGCAGCAGUCGCGAAAACUUCACAAUGGGGGCAACCCCGAUGAGGGAAUUCCUAAUGCUAGCACAUUUGUGUUAGCUUUUCUUUAGCGUAGAUAACUAGAGGAAUAAGGGCUGGGAAAGACGGGUGCCAGCCGCCGCGGUAAUACCUGCAGCCCAAGUGGUGGUCGAGUUUAUUGAGUCUAAAACGUUCGUAGCCGGUUCGGUAAAUCUUUGGGUAAAUCGGAGGGCUUAACCUUCCGACUUCCGAGGAGACUGCCGAACUUGGGACCGGGAGAGGCUAGAGGUACUUCUGGGGUAGGGGUAAAAUCCUGUAAUCCUAGAAGGACCACCGGUGGCGAAGGCGUCUAGCUAGAACGGAUCCGACGGUGAGGGACGAAGCCCUGGGUCGCAAACGGGAUUAGAUACCCCGGUAGUCCAGGGUGUAACGCUGCAGACUUGGUGU